GUUGGGGAGAAUGGAGUAGCUUUUUUAUUAACGACGAACGGAAAAGAUGGUAAUUUAACAGAACGGAAAACCGUAAGUACAGAACGGAGAACCGAAAGUACAAGUCGGAAAACCAGAAAAUACAGAACGGAAAACGAGAAAGUAAGAGACAACAAAGCUAGGCAAUUAU
rnacentral:sRNA from 1 species